UACAGAGGUCUCAAGCGUUGUUCGGAUUCAUUGGGCGUAAAGGGUGCGUAGGCGGCGCGGUGAGUCGGAUGUGAAAUCUCGGAGCUUAACUCCGAAACUGCAUUCGAUACUGCCGUGCUUGAGGACUGGAGAGGAGACUGGAAUUUACGGUGUAGCGGUGAAAUGCGUAGAUAUCAAGAGGAACACCUGAGGUGAAGACGGGUUGCUGGGCUGAUACUGACGCUGAAGCGCGAAAGCUAGGGUAGCAAACGGG
rnacentral:rRNA from 1 species